AGUGAACGCUGGCGGUAGGCCUAACACAUGCAAGUCGAACGGCAGCACAGUAAGAGCUUGCUCUUACGGGUGGCGAGUGGCGGACGGGUGAGGAAUACAUCGGAAUCUACUUUUUCGUGGGGGAUAACGUAGGGAAACUUACGCUAAUACCGCAUACGACCUACGGGUGAAAGCAGGGGAUCUUCGGACCUUGCGCGAUUGAAUGAGCCGAUGUCGGAUUAGCUAGUUGGCGGGGUAAAGGCCCACCAAGGCGCCGAUCCGUAGAUGGUCUGAGAGGAUGAUCAGCCACAAUGGAACUGAGACACGGUCCAGACUCCUACGGGAGGCAGCAGUGGGGAAUAUUGGACAAUGGGCGCAAGCCUGAUCCAGCCAUACCGCGUGGGUGAAGAAGGCCUUCGGGUUGUAAAGCCCUUUUGUUGGGAAAGAAAAGCAGCAGGUUAAUACCCCGCUGUUCUGACGGUACCCAAAGAAUAAGCACCGGCUAACUUCGUG
rnacentral:rRNA from 1 species